GACAGAGGGGGCGAGCGCUAACCGGGGGCACUGGGCGUAAAGCGCGCGCGGGCGGAUAGAUAAGUCGGGGGUGAAAGCCCGGGGCUCAACCUCGGAAUUGCCUUCGAUACUGUCGGUCUCGAGUCCGGGAGAGGUGAGUGGAAUUCCUAGUGUAGAGGUGAAAUUCGUAGAUAUUAGGAAGAACACCAGUGGCGAAGGCGGCUCACUGGCCCGGUACUGACGCUCAGGUGCGAAAGCGUGGGGAGCAAACAGG
rnacentral:rRNA from 1 species